GUUUUAAUAGUUUAAAUAAAAAUUUUGGUCUUGUAAAUCAAAAAUAAGUAAAUAUUACUUUUAAAACU
rnacentral:tRNA from 1 species